UGGGGGCAGGUAGGGGAGAAAGUCUGCAAAUCUCCCUCUUAAACAAUCAGACAGUUCAAGGCUGCUUGUGAGGAAAUACACGGGCCCACUUCUUAUUUCUAAGAUUGGUGCUCAUUUUUAAAUUAAUACUUUUACAGUGUUUGACUAUAUUCUGAGAUUGGUUUUAUUGCUAAAAUCUGCAUUUUAAAGAUAAACCAAGACCCAGGGUCUUGCACAUGUGCUUUUCUGCUAUUUAGGAAAUGAACUGCCCAGCCACAGUUCAUUAUUGAGAGCACAGCGUUGGGAUCUCUCUAGAUGAUCCCUCAAGGAAUUCCAUCGCUAAUCACAACACCAAAUAUGUGCCCGCGGACGUUACAGUGGCUUCCAAAGCCCUAUAUAUCCGCCAUUCAGUUCCCCUU
rnacentral:lncRNA from 1 species